GGAUGUAAGGGCAAUCUGGCUGCAAUAUCUGUCACCCCACUGAUCACCAGGGUUGAUUUGGCUAAUCUGGCUGGCUAGGAGGGUGUCAAUAUCUGUCACCCCACUGAUGACCAGGGUUGAUGUGGCUAAUCUGGCUGGCUAGGAGGGUGUCCCCGUCCUCCCUCACGGCUCCAUGUGCGUCCCUCUGUGCACUCAGUCAAAGGGGACGACCAUCCCCAACAGAGGAGGACUGGUCUUCGGUCAGGGGUAUAUGAGUAGCUGCACUCCCCUACCAGAACCUCCAUUCAAGCUCUCAAAAAAUACGGGAAAAAAAUUAGCUGCUUGGGAGGCUGAGGUGGGAGCCUGAGCCCAGAGAAGUCGAGUGAGCCAUGAUUGUGUCACUGCACU
rnacentral:snRNA from 1 species